CGGAUACAGGCCGGCGUACUGGUGAAAAGUGUGAGAUGCUCCUGUUAGAUGCUGCCCAUGGAUUCUGUCUUCAGUAACACGAUGGGUAAUGAGAUUUUAGGGAAAAAAUAAAACGAGGGUAAGACAGCCAGCUCUUCCUCUUGUUUAUAUUUUUUUCCGGUUUGUCUAGCCGGUCUCUGUCUUGAUUACAAUAAA